GAUGAAGAACGUAGCGAAAUGCGAUAAGUAAUGUGAAUUGCAGAAUUCAGUGAAUCAUCGAAUCUUUGAACGCACAUUGCGCCCCCUGGUAUUCCGGGGGCAUGCCUGUCCGAGCGUCAUUACAACCCUCAAGCUCAGCUUGGUGUUGGGCCCCGCCGCCCCGGCGGGCCCUAAAGUCAGUGGCGGUGCCGUCCGGCUCCGAGCGUAGUAAUUCUUCUCGCUCUGGAGGUCCGGUCGUGUGCUCGCCAGCAACCCCCAAUUUUUUUCAGGUUGACCUCGGAUCAGGUAGGGGUACCCGCUGAACUUAAGCAUAUCAAUAAGCGGAGGA
rnacentral:misc_RNA from 1 species